rnacentral:pre_miRNA from 1 species
UUUGACUCUUCAUCUUAUUUUGAUUUUUUAUGAUUAAUAUUUUUAUUGUUACUAGAUGGCAAAAUAUAAAUAAUACUUUAUGUAUUACUAAUUUUUUAAAGUGUUUUAAUAAAAUUUUCAAAUAAGAUGAAUAGUCAAA